rnacentral:rRNA from 1 species
UACGUAGGGUGCGAGCGUUAAUCGGAAUUACUGGGCGUAAAGCGUGCGCAGGCGGUGAUGUAAGUCAGAUGUGAAAUCCCCGGGCUCAACCUGGGAACUGCAUUUGUGACUGCCUCGCUGGAGGGCGGCAGAGGGGGAUGGAAUUCCGCGUGUAGCAGUGAAAUGCGUAGAUAUGCGGAGGAACACCGAUGGCGAAGGCAAUCCCCUGGGCCUGCACUGACGCUCAUGCACGAAAGCGUGGGGAGCAAACAGG